ACAGACGACAAAUGGGGUUAAGGAAGACCUCUUGAAGGUAAUGUUUAGUGUCAGUUUUGAAGGAUGGUGUGGAACGCAUUGGAUGAGGAGAGAAGAGAACACGGGAAGAACACACGAGUAGAGGGAGCAACAUGAGGAGAACACAGAAGCUAGGAAGCAAAAUCUUUCAGGUGUGGAAUGACCCAGUGUUGCUGCUGCAAAGUGCCUGAUCAUAAAAUAAUAGUCAGCAGGAUGACAAUGCCAGUCUUCCUUUGGGGGAAAAAAAAAUCAGAUAGGUCUCGGAGAAAGCUCAGUCAUGGAAGUGUUUGCAAACACGAGGACCCCAGUUCGAUCUCCAGAGUCAUUAUUUGAUGUCUAAUCUUGAUUGUCAACCUGACUAUACCUGGAAUCAGCCAAAACCCGAGCAUCUGGACAUGCCCCAAGGUCUUUUCUUAAAUUCACUAUUUGAGGUGUGAAGACCCACCAUAAGUCUUGGCAACAAGUUCUCGUGGCAGCCCCCCCCCCCCCCCCGCACUGAACAACGUAGAAGGAUGCUUUUGCUUUUUGCAUGUUUGCCCUCAUUCUCAAUGGCAAGUUCAUGGAUCCUGCUGCUGAGGCAUUCCUUCAUCCAUUUUGGCAGCUAGUUCUUCAGGACUCCAAUACAGACAGAAGACCAGCAUCUCUCUACGACCUCCCUGGGACCCCAACAUCAGAUUGAGACUGUUGCAAUAGUCAGUAUCCUGAACUAAACAACUACUAGAGUUUGGCCUUUCUAUUGGGAGACUGUCAUUGUUGGAAUACCUGGCUCAUGGCCUAUAAGUCACCCUAAUAAGUCACAUAUAUAGUCUGUGUGAAGCAAGAAGGAAGUUAGAUUCAGGGUGACUCAGUAGCUAGUGAUGGUUGAAACUUACAGAGCCUGACACGAGGCAGUUUAUUUUGGGCAUAUAUAAGUACAGUAAAAUCUGGGAAAAGGUUUCCUGAUGUAACACAAUACCAUAUGUACAGUGGAUCAUAAUUACACUGAAAUUCUUCUCAAAGCUCUGUCAUUUCUUCCAUGAAGAUGGAUUCUCCAGAUGUGCUAUGUGUGUUAUUUUAAGGGCCUAGCAGAUCUGUGAAGUAUGGUUUUGGUCAGACAAAUAGUGCAGAGGCCAUCUAGACUACUAGCUUCCUCAGGCCCUGAUUGUGGGAAUUUGGGGGAACCGGGAAUGGCCUAGCCCUACAGAUAAUGCAGCAGCAGUCACAUAAGCUACUAGCUACCUCCACUCCCAGGCCUCUGGGUGUGGGAAGCAGUAUAGAUUCCUUUGAAGAGACAACCCUGAAUAUUUAACAUUUGUGGUUGUUCUAGUGAUUAUCUGUAAGCACACUUUUUAUGGUGUCUUGGAAUCCUAACAUUGAGGAAGAGGAGACAGGCAGAUCCAUGGAAUUCACUGACUAGUCAGCCUAGCCUAUAUGGCAAAUUCUGGGCCAGAAGUAUUUUAAAAUAUGAUCUUCAUUUGAAAGCUAACCAGAAUGUCUGGGAAGACAUUUAUUCUUUAAACUGUUUUUUUUUUUUUAAAAAGGUAUAGACACUUUCAGAGAAAUGAUACACAAAGUAAUUCUUUAGUCUCUACAUAUAAGCACAAACAUGUGCCCUUGUACCAGUACAUGCAUGAACAUGAAACACCCACAUAUAUCAUGGACAUAUAAGUAACCAGAAGCAUCAAGAGUAAGUAUAUUGCUGUAUCUAUAUAAGAUUUUAGAUAUGGUCAGAAGCAGAUGUAAGAUUGGGAGGAAAAGGAAAGUUAGUAUGAGGCUAACCAUGAAAGAGGAACUAGUCAUGAAUUGAGAAGGAAGGCUAUGGGGUAACUACGUGUCUUAUCAUAGAUACCGACUUCUCUGAGCUUGUAACUCCAUAUUCCUCCACUCUAAGGUCAGAAGUGAUUCAGGGGAAACCACACGUCUGAUGAAAACUCAAGGAAAGGGCCCAGGUGAGAGCUCCAGAGAACACCAGAAUAAGUAACUCCAGGCCCAUGGUACCUCUUCUGUUUCCUUAUCUGAACUGGGCACAACACCCUACCCACAGCUUGUGUGGAGACUCUUAAUUAACAUAGUUAAUGUGUGCUACCUGUGUUCAAAAUAUCUAAUGUGCACCUAUCCCCUCCUCUCUCAUGCCAAGCUCAAAGUCUGGAUAAAAAUGUUUGGAUCAAUUGGAAGAGAACUUCUAAGGACUUUAGGUUCUGGACUUGGAGUUUAAGGUUCUCUCAGAGAGAAGUUAUCAACUCUGCAGAAAUUGCUAUAGAACUUUUCUGGGAUAGACUCAACCUCACGCCCCAUCUCAAAUGCCCGAGAGAACAGUUACCACCCUCUUGACUUCUCAUCCAACCAACUUAUGCCCAUUCCAUUUUCUGCACAAGAAGACAAUCAUAUGGCCCCCGUAGCUCCCAGCAUAACACAGAGCAUCACUGGAUCUCCACCUCUGCAGGUUGGGCACAGUGUUUUCCAGUCAGUAGUCAGCUUUACAGGGUUAGCUGCAUCCAGGAACAGCUGACAGCCUUUUUUAGCCGAGCAGCUGCUCUCUGAUACACAAUGUCCCUAACGCUCAAGGUCUGGUGAGCGGUCAUUGUUUUGUAUCCAUAUCAGCAUUAACCGGUUCCUUUGAUAGUCGGAGGGUAUCUGGUCUGCCAUUGAAAACCUUAACCAUCAGAACUCUUAAGUCACAUUAACACAUCAUCUAGAUCAAUGGGGGUGGGGGGGAAAGGGAACUUUUGGGGUUUAAAGAAUUGAUAAUGUGGAGGAAAUCUCUCUCUCUCUCUCUCUCUCUCUCUCUCUCUCUCUCUCUCUCUCUCUUUCUCUGACACACAGACACACACACAGUUGUAUACUAAGGGAUGUUUGUUGAGUGCUAUUCUCUGAGCGUAACAGCAAUCAUGUUCCUCAGAACAGUGGUGACUACUUGUGACUCUCAAGAUAGGAUGUGCUGACUGUGGAUCUUUCCUCCAGGAAGGAGAGUGACAGGAGGGUCAUUGAACCCUUACUUGAGAUUCUAGCUACUUCCUCUUGCACCUCUCAGACACCCCUAAGUAGGUGCUAGAGUAUGCCGACUAUAGAAGGGUAUCAAAAGAACGGGGAAUUCAUGCUGCGGUGAAAUUUUUAGGUGUGGUUGCUUUCAGAUCUUCUGCGCUGCUGGGUGGGAAGUAACUUAUAGCAAGCUCAAGAAACCUUUUGGUCCAAGACUGACUUCGGUGGAAUCCUACUUUAGUUUGUUGUUGGUACCCUAUCUGGGAGGGAGUGGUUAUUUCCUUAGGAAAAUAAUCAUGAAAUAAGGACACUGUCACAGCAUCAUAGACAGUGGCAAGUUUUAUCCUGAAUUGGAUUGCUGCUACACUGGCUAUUGAGAAGGAAAUGGGGUAGAAGACUUUAAGAAGUGCAAUAAAUAGUGUGAUAGUCUUUUAGCUCAGCUCAGAGAAUAUCACCCAGAAUGGGCACCCAUUAUUACAGAGAUCAAGUCCUUUUAGUCAAAGGACCUUUGCCUCAGGGUGAAGAGAGUGGCUUAGAGCUACACUUUUAAACCUAUUCAAGAACUGAACUCAAACAGGUCAGAGGUCUACACAAGGAUGCAGACAUAAGCCAGUUUCCCAAUAUUGCCGAUAGCGUCAAGGAUCUGUUUACUCACACGGGGCCUGUCUGCCACAAUCCUUGUGUCUGUCACCCUUUCUCCUUCGUGGUUUUAAACUGCUCAUUAUGCAUGGAACUUGAUUGCCCAACCCUGCUUGGGGGAUGAAAACAUUAGCCAACAAAGAAAGAAAAACAGAUAAGGAGGUCCACUUCUGGAACAAGUCAGACCGGGGAGAGAUCAGGGCCAGGGGGAGCCAGAGGGAAGGAGUUCCUCGGGGGCCAGGACCUGGUCACAGCGCCCUCUCUCCGCCCAGCCCUGCGGCUCCAGGGCUGCGCGCCUUGGGAGGGAAGAUGGUGAAAGCAGAAGCAGCGCCUACACCGGGAGAGCAGGGAGGAGGAGUUGGACUGAGGUUGGGCGGCUCCGAGGUCCAGGGCGAGCUUGGCCAGAGGGAGUAGAGAGCAGCGGGGCUGCGCAGGGACGCGUGCCGUGAGUUCCGGUGAGCGUGUGUGUCCCAUGCUCCCGUCUUUCAGGCCGGCCCAGGACACGAAGCCGGAAGAGAGCUGGCUGGAGGGACGGGGGCCGUGAGCAGAGAGUGCAACCCGCGCAGCCCCGGGGACAGGCUGAUUCUUGGCGCUCUCCGCCGGAGCCUGCCCAGGGCUGGGUGUGAGGCUGGCGUCACGUCAACGAGCAGAGGCGGCCAGGCGGGGCGGAGUGCGCGUGCGCGGGGCGGCGAGCACGCGCGCGCGCGCACCCCCGGGCAGCCUGGGCGGCCGCUCCUGCCUGUCACUGCUGCGGCGCUGCUGGUCGGUCGUUUCCCUUGAAGGCAGCAGCGGAGGCGGCGGCUGCUCCAGACACCUGCGGCGGCGACCCCCCGGCGGCGCGGAGAUGUGGCCCUUGGCGGCGGCGCUGUUGCUGGGCUCCUGCUGCUGCGGUUCAGCUCAACUACUGUUUAGUAACGUCAACUCCAUAGAGUUCACUUCAUGCAAUGAAACUGUGGUCAUCCCUUGCAUCGUCCGUAAUGUGGAGGCGCAAAGCACCGAAGAAAUGUUUGUGAAGUGGAAGUUGAACAAAUCGUAUAUUUUCAUCUAUGAUGGAAAUAAAAAUAGCACUACUACAGAUCAAAACUUUACCAGUGCAAAAAUCUCAGUCUCAGACUUAAUCAAUGGCAUUGCCUCUUUGAAAAUGGAUAAGCGCGAUGCCAUGGUGGGAAACUACACUUGCGAAGUGACAGAGUUAUCCAGAGAAGGCAAAACAGUUAUAGAGCUGAAAAACCGCACGGCCUUCAACACUGACCAAGGAUCAGCCUGUUCUUACGAGGAGGAGAAAGGAGGUUGCAAAUUAGUUUCGUGGUUUUCUCCAAAUGAAAAGAUCCUCAUUGUUAUUUUCCCAAUUUUGGCUAUACUCCUGUUCUGGGGAAAGUUUGGUAUUUUAACACUCAAAUAUAAAUCCAGCCAUACGAAUAAGAGAAUCAUUCUGCUGCUCGUUGCCGGGCUGGUGCUCACAGUCAUCGUGGUUGUUGGAGCCAUCCUUCUCAUCCCAGGAGAAAAGCCCGUGAAGAAUGCUUCUGGACUUGGCCUCAUUGUAAUCUCUACGGGGAUAUUAAUACUACUUCAGUACAAUGUGUUUAUGACAGCUUUUGGAAUGACCUCUUUCACCAUUGCCAUAUUGAUCACUCAAGUGCUGGGCUACGUCCUUGCUUUGGUCGGGCUGUGUCUCUGCAUCAUGGCAUGUGAGCCAGUGCACGGCCCCCUUUUGAUUUCAGGUUUGGGGAUCAUAGCUCUAGCAGAACUACUUGGAUUAGUUUAUAUGAAGUUUGUCGAGUGGAGAGAGACACCUUCGGUCAGUUGAGAGGCAAGAAGGAAAGCUUCCAACCAGAGGACUAUCCAACCUCCUAGGAAAGCUGUAGAGGAACCCCUUAACGCAUUUAAAGAGUCAAAAGGAAUGAUGAAUGACGAAUAGGUGAAGGGAAGUGACGGACUGUAACUUGGAAGUCAGAAAUGGAAGAAUACAGUUGUCUAAGCACCAGGUCUUCACGACUCACAGCUGGAAGGAACAGACAACAGUAACUGACUUCCAUCCAGGAAAACAUGUCACAUAAAUGAUUACUAAGUUUAUAUUCAAAGCAGCUGUACUUUACAUAAUAAAAAAAAUAUGAUGUGCUGUGUAACCAAUUGGAAUCCCAUUUUUCUAUUGUUUCUACUCAACUAGGGGCAAACGUUUCAGGGGCAACUUCCAAGAAUGAUGCUUGUUAGAUCCUAGAGUCUCUGAACACUGAGUUUAAAUUGAUUCCGAGUGAGACUCGCCAAGCACUAACCUGAGGGUUAGUUACCCAGAGAUACCUAUGAAAAACAGUGGUAUCCAGCAAGCCUUAGUAAACUCAGGUUGCCAGCAGCUUUGCCACUUCCGCUGCUAGCUGAAUAACAAGACUGCCACUUCUGGGUCAUAGUGAUAGAGACUGAAGUAGAAAAACGAAUGUGGUUGGGCAAAUCCCGUGUGGCCCCUCUGUGUGCUAUGAUAUUGAUGGCACUGGUGUCUUCAUUCUUGGGGGUUGCCAUCAUUCACACACACCCCUUUGACAUACAGUGCACCCCAGUUUUGAAUACAUUUUUUUUGCACCCUGUCCCGUUCUGCUACUUUGAUUUGCGUUAUGAUAUAUAUAUAUAUAUAUAAUACCUUUUCUCCUCUUUAAACAUGGUCCUGUGACACAAUAGUCAGUUGCAGAAAGGAGCCAGACUUAUUCGCAAAGCACUGUGCUCAAACUCUUCAGAAAAAAAGGAAAAAAAAAAAAAGCUAUAGUUGUAACAUAUGUAUUCCAGACCUCUGGUUUAAAGGCAAAAGAAAAAAAAUCUACAGUGUUUCUUCUCAUGUUUUCUGAUCGGAGGCAUGACAAAGCAAGACUGAAAUCUGAACUGUGUCUCCUGCAUGGCAACACGUGUCUCCGUCAGGCCCUCGCAAGGCCCGGGGAGGGGGUUCUACGCCUCUUGUCUCUUUGUUGCAUGCUGAACACUCAUCGCCUUCCUACUGUAUCCUGCCUCCUGCAGCCUCCCUCUUCCUCCUCCUCUUCCUCUUCCUCCUCUUCCUCCUCCUCCUCCUCUUCCUCCAAGUUUGAAAGGUCAAACAAAACUACCACAUUCCCUACCCAGUUAGAAGAAAACCACCGUCCUGACAGUUGUGAUCGCAUGGAGUACUUUUAGAUUAUUAGCACCUGUUUUUACCUCGUUUGUGGGCGUGUUUGUAUGUGCACAUGUAUGAAGUCGGCACAUGCACCUUCUGUAUGGGCAGAGGCGUGGCAUCUACAGAAGAGCAGAUGCCAACUUUGUGCUUUUAGUGAAUACAUUAAAAAAAAAAAACCAACGGUCCUUAUUGAGUGGAAUUCUAUUUGAUGCAAAUAUUUGAGCUCUUUAAGACUUUAAAACUAGAUAAUGUGCCAAGCUUUUAGGACUGCUCACCAGUGCCCUCUGAAGAAACACCAGUACUUUUUCCUGUUUGUGUAAUAAAGGCAUAUUUGUAUUUGUGUUUGCA